UCUCUUCCUGCAUGUUGGUUCCGAACCUUAAAAGUAACAACAAAGAAAGUUAGCAGGUCUGUUAGAUAAUGCCUAUUUCACACCAACUGGAUAAGGACAUUUCUGGGCUGCACCAGAACUUUUAAACGGGAACUCCAUUCUAUUCAUGUUACUAUAUUCCCCUUUCGUUUACAAAUCUCAUGACAUUGACUACGGACGCGGAUGUAUCUAGGGAGAUUUGUAUUUAGCUGAGCCUAAUUUUCGGCUAGCUAGCAAUUGCUGUGAAGCAGGGGCGGAGCCAAAGGGGUGUCCGGGUGGAACUGGAAACCCCUGACAUCUGAUUGGCAACCCAGGGUGCCACCCCAACAUUUCAUUCGCUACUGGUAGUUUGAUUGCUGAUUGACAUCUCAUUUCACCUCUUGUUGAAAGAAUCAUUUAUUUUGACGUUCGGCGGCGCAGUUUUCAAACCGAAGGUGAGGAAGAGAGAAUAUUAACGUUGGUUGUGAGAUACAGAAGAAUAAGAAGAACAUACAGAAGAAGAAGAGAGAAUAUUUCCACAGCUCCACGAGCUCUUUUCGCGAUUGGCGAAAGCAUCAUAUUUGAGGUAAGUUUUAAGGUUUAGCAUCGGGUUCAGGUUUCCUGAACAACUUUUAUGAAAGUUAAGUCACUGUGUAAGUUAAAGUUAGACCUCUGGCUCCAUUAACAGACAGUUAAUCAGAUAAGAGAGAAUGGUUCCCAAUUUAGCCUAACAUUAUGUUUACAUCUGUGCUAGUAAUACAAACAUAUACCAUGCAGUGUCGUAAAUUACAGUAUACGAAUGUUUAGCUAAUGUGGCGUAACUAGUAGGCUACACCUGUCAGUGUUCAGCAAGUUAACAUUCAGCAAAUUGAAAUCCAUUAACUCAGUUAGAUUUUCGUACUUGAACUCAAAACAAACAAUUGUUACUAUCAAUCUGUUAAUGUUACCCAAAAUAUGACCACAAUUUGCAGUUAGCCUGUUUGCUACCGUAAAGGUGUUAGAAAUUAUAGCUAGCUCAGUUACUUACUGCAGAGUAGAGCUAGCCAUGAUCUAACUUAGGCUGGUAGUUGAUUUUAAGGUACACUUAUGAAAAUGGGGAUUAGUAAUUAAGGUUGAGAUUGGACUAAAAUGUGGGUAAUUGGAUGCUUAGAUGUAACCAUAGACUGUCUUAUUUUCGCACAGGGUCAAUUAAACCGGAAAAAGAAAGUGGAGGGAGCCUGAUGACUCUCACAACAAGGGUCAUUUUUUUGACAACCUUAGAGGAAAUAGCAAAGAAUGACCCUCUCAUAGAGAAAGAAUGACCCUCUCAUAGAGAAAAGAAACACAAGCCACCAAAUCCAGGACGAACUUCUUGAGGGCUGAGAUGUCAUCUGAAAGCUUAGAUGCAGCCGGUCUCACGUUGAUUGCCUUGGAAAAACACGGUCUGGACUACAGAAAUAAUCUGGUGGGGCGAGGCUGUGGCGGUGCAUCCGUCAUGAGCGGAAAGCAUUCUGGUGUGUCUGUACGGAUUUAAAAAACAGUGCAAGAUUAGCAUUUUUAUGUGCAUUGUAAUGCACAUUGUUUUGAAUUUGGUUCUUGUCAAUAUCAGUGCCAGAGGCUGUUAACUUUUUUGUUCUCUCCUGCAGAAGCUUUAUAAAACUUUAUCUGGCUCGUACGUUCAUCUCAAGUGGCUCGCCGUUCAGAAAGACCUGAAACCGCAGCAGCAGCCCAGGGAACCACGGAGACUUACGGAUGUAAGGUUGGCAUGCGGAUACAUGGCAUGCCGUAAAUCUGAGGGACAGGCUUCAAGCAGUUCUGACAGAGCUACAGGACAUUGAAGAGAUUGCAGAGCACUGCAAAAUAAGUGUACAAACAGUGUGUAAAGAUGUUAGAGGAUGGGCGGAUUGGCUUCGAACUGUGAACAGAUGCCACUGUCAUAAAUCAUUGUUAUUUUGGCUAAACGUACAGGUCCUGGCCUAAGAGAAGCUUAAGAUUUCAAAACUCAUUGUUGAUGUAGGACAGAAAAAUAGUGACCAAAGUGAUGGUGAAGAGCUUCCAUAGAGCUGUCUUUUAUCAGGUGCUUGACAGUCUCACCGCUGAGCUGCAGAGGCGUUUUUCAAAGAAGAAUUGUGAGAUAAUGCAAAGGUGUCCAGCCUCUCAACCCAAACAGUACAACUUUCUUGAAUGAGGAGCUUCUGUUUGCCUUUGCUCAGACAUACGUGUCAGAUUUAGAGGACCUCCCUCAACAUGGACGAGUUUGUGGAACAUUUUGCCAGUUCUCACCAGAACCGGAGAAUUAUGCUGUUUUUAAAUCUACCAGGGAUAAAUUGGCCCUUAGGUGGUCCCUCUGGUCGUGAUUAACACCUGCACUGUGUACUAGCUAGCUGACAUUCUGAAAGCAUCCAUCCAAAGGGUUUCAUGACACACAGAUUUAAUUUGGUGUCAGUUGGGCCAAUUCCAAAACUUUUCUUUGUUAUUAGUUAACAUAAUAUAUAUGAGCAUAAAUACGAUACUGUAAAUUUGUAAAGACUUUUCAAGUCCAUUUCUGCUUGAUACCUGGUAUGUCAAAUCGCAGUGUGUUUUUCUGUUGUUGUAAAUAAACUUACAUGUAAUUUAUGUAACACACAAAUGC